rnacentral:rRNA from 1 species
UACGGGGGGAGCAAGCGUUGUUCGGAUUUACUGGGCGUAAAGGGCGCGUAGGCGGCACCGCAAGUCGACUGUGAAAUCUCCGGGCUUAACCCGGAAAGGUCAGCCGAUACUGCGGGGCUAGAGUGCAGAAGGGGCAACUGGAAUUCCCGGUGUAGCGGUGAAAUGCGCAGAUAUCGGGAAGAACACCCGUGGCGAAGGCGGCUCUCUGGGACGGUACUGACGCUGAGACGCGAAAGCGUGGGGAGCGAACAGG